GUAUUUGUGACAGCUGCGGUCGGGAGGUGGCGCCCGCAGAGCCCAGGCCUCCUUCCACCUCCUUGCAAGGCUGGGCUGAUACAGGCGUCUUUGGGCCUGGCUCUCACUACCCACCCUCCUCCAGGGGCCAGAAGGCGCUCGGGCCAUCAGACCUCCCGUUCGGAAACAUGCAAAAUGCACAGGUUUCCUUACUUACCAUGAAGCCUCUGAGGAUGAUUACUUCUGGAAAAGGCCCUCCCUGAGCACUAGAAUAUGUGAUCCUUUAAGCACAGACUAUUGCAGCAGUGAGAAGUCUGACUGCUCCUGACUGCUGCGGGGUCCUCCCUCCACCCUCCCUCUCUUUCUUCUUCCUUCCUUUUUAAAAAAAAAAAAAAAAAAUUAGCAACAGAACCUUUCCUUCAGAGGCACCUUCUUUAGAACCUCAAUAUAUAUAACAGAUAAAAACGGCACAGCUCUAGCUAGAGCGCGACUGAGGAUGCAGAGCCUCUCGCCUUCUCCACCCACCCUUCCAUCGGAUCCCCUCUGGGGCACCUUUUGGAGAUCUACGGAGCACAGUGUGCAAAACAUUGAUUGUCGUCUUUUCUUUUUUUCAGGAAACAAAAUGGAAGGCCAGGAAGCUUUCAGCAAUUGCUUAAGAAAAUGACUCAACUGAGAAGCAACAGUCUUCAGAGUGGAGCCAAUGCUGUGUUUGCCGUGGUAGAAGCAGUCUCCCAGAGUUUGAAGAGAUGGAGCGUCUAUUGUUUGCCUGAAAGGGAUGGAUGAAUGGCAAGAAAUCUCCCUGAGUCCAAGAAGUUAUAACUAAAAGUGGGUAGACAUCAAUUACAGCAUCAGUUAAUUACAGCUCAGUUACAGACCAUAGCAGAAGAGAGUAGUUGCACUCUCAAACAGGAAGUGCAACUACUUUAAUGCUCCAGCAAAAGAAAGGAAGAUUUCCUUCUUGCCCAGCAACAAGCCCAGCCAAUGGAAAAUGCUGCAGCUUAGCCAAUGAGAAGUUGUUGUCACCUGAACUUUUAUUUUCCUCUAAUGGACUUUCAUUGUUUCCCUGCUGAUAUCUUCCUUUCCUUGUCCUGGUCUCCU
rnacentral:lncRNA from 1 species